rnacentral:tRNA from 2 species
GGGUCCGUAGGCUAAUUUGGCAAACCGCGGGAUUCCAAAUCCCGUCUUCCAGGUUCAAGUCCUGGCGGACCUG